UUAUAAGAGACAGCAGUCGCCACGGUAAUACAGAGGGUGCGAGCGUUAAUCGGAUUUACUGGGCGUAAAGCGUGCGUAGGCGGCUUCUUAAGUCGGAUGUGAAAUCCCUGAGCUUAACUUAGGAAUUGCAUUCGAUACUGGGAAGCUAGAGUAUGGGAGAGGAUGGUAGAAUUCCAGGUGUAGCGGUGAAAUGCGUAGAGAUCUGGAGGAAUACCGAUGGCGAAGGCAGCCAUCUGGCCUAAUACUGACGCUGAGGUACGAAAGCAUGGGGAGCAAACAGGAUUAGAUACCCCUGUAGUCCCUGUCUCUUAUAC
rnacentral:rRNA from 1 species